rnacentral:rRNA from 1 species
CUGUGAUAGGGACCCCGAGUGCCCGUAUACGCGGGCUGUCCAGGUGUUUAAAACGCAUCUGAAGAAAGGGCCGGGCAAGACCGGUGCCAGCCGCCGCGGUAAUACCGGCGGCUCGAGUGGUGGCCACUAUUAUUGGGCUUAAAGCGUCCGUAGCUGGACCCUUAAGUCUCUUGGGAAAUCCGCCGGCUUAACCGACGGGCGUCUAAGAGAUACUGGGGGUCUAGGGACCGGGAGAGGUGAGAGGUACUCCGGGGGUAGGAGUGAAAUCCUGUAAUCCCCGGGGGACCACCGAUGGCGAAGGCAUCUCACCAGAACGGCUCCGACAGUGAGGGACGAAAGCUGGGGGAGCGAACCGGAUUAGAUACCCGGGUAGUCCCAGCCGUAAACUAUGCGCGUUAGGUGUACUGGUGACCACGAGUCACUGGGGUGCCGAAGGGAAACCGUGAAACGUGCCGCCUGGGAAGUACGGUCGCAAGGCUGAAACUUAAAGGAAUUGGCGGGGGGAGCAC